GUCCGCAAGGAUGAGUAAAGCGGCGCACGGGUGCGUAACACGUGGGUAAUCUUCCUUGAAGCCCGGAAUAACUCCCCGAAAGGGGUGCUAAUACCCGGAUAAGACCACGGGAUCCUCGGAUCCUGAGGGAAAAGGCGGCCUCUGUAUACAAGCUGUCACUUCAAGAUGAGCCCGCGGCCCAUCAGCUAGUUGGCGGGGGUAAUGGCCCACCAAGGCUACGACGGGUAGCUGGUCUGAGAGGACGAUCAGCCACACUGGAACUGAGACACGGUCCAGACUCCUACGGGAGGCAGCAGUGGGGAAUCUUGCGCAAUGGCGAAAGCCUGACGCAGCAACGCCGCGUGUGUGAUGAAGGUCUUCGGAUCGUAAAGCACUGUCGGGAGGGACGAAUAAGGUGGCGGCUAACACCCGUCGCUGAUGACGGUACCUCCAAAGGAAGCACCGGCUAACUCUGUGCCAGCAGCCGCGGUAA
rnacentral:rRNA from 1 species